rnacentral:rRNA from 2 species
GACGGUAUUUAACCAGAAAGCCACGGCUAACUACGUGCCAGCAGCCGCGGUAAUACGUAGGUGGCAAGCGUUGUCCGGAUUUAUUGGGCGUAAAGCGAGCGCAGGCGGUUUUUUAAGUCUGAUGUGAAAGCCUUCGGCUCAACCGAAGAAGUGCAUCGGAAACUGGCAAACUUGAGUGCAGAAGAGGACAGUGGAACUCCAUGUGUAGCGGUGAAAUGCGUAGAUAUAUGGAAGAACACCAGUGGCGAAGGCGGCUGUCUGGUCUGCAACUGACGCUGAGGCUCGAAAGUAUGGGUAGCAAACAGGAUUAGAUACCCUGGUAGUCCAUGCCGUAAACGAUGAAUGCUAAGUGUUGGAGGGUUUCCGCCCUUCAGUGCUGCAGCUAACGCAUUAAGCAUUCCGCCUGGGGAGUACGGCCGCAAGGCUGAAACUCAAAGGAAUUGACGGGGGCCCGCACAAGCGGUGGAGCAUGUGGUUUAAUUCGAAGCUACGCGAAGAACCUUACCAGGUCUUGACA